rnacentral:rRNA from 1 species
UACGAAGGGGGCUAGCGUUGUUCGGAAUUACUGGGCGUAAAGCGCGCGCAGGCGGUCUUCCAAGUCAGUGGUGAAAUCCUGGAGCUCAACUCCAGAACUGCCUUUGAUACUGAAAGUCUUGAGUAUGGGAGAGGUGAGUGGAACUGCGAGUGUAGAGGUGAAAUUCGUAGAUAUUCGCAAGAACACCAGUGGCGAAGGCGGCUCACUGGCCCAUUACUGACGCUGAGGCACGAAAGCGUGGGGAGCAAACAGG